GACGAACCGAGCGAACGUUGUUCGGAAUCACUGGGCUUAAAGGGCGCGUAGGCGGGUGCUCAAGUCCGUGGUGAAAUCCUCCGGCUCAACCGGAGAACUGCCUCGGAUACUGGGUGCCUCGAGGGUGGUAGGGGUAUGCGGAACUAUCGGUGGAGCGGUGAAAUGCGUUGAUAUCGAUAGGAACUCCGGUGGCGAAGGCGGCAUACUGGACCGCCUCUGACGCUGAGGCGCGAAAGCCAGGGGAGCAAACAGG
rnacentral:rRNA from 1 species